rnacentral:rRNA from 1 species
GAUGAACGCUGGCGGCGUGCCUAAUACAUGCAAGUCGAGCGAACAGACGAGGAGCUUGCUCCUCUGACGUUAGCGGCGGACGGGUGAGUAACACGUGGAUAACCUACCUAUAAGACUGGGAUAACUUCGGGAAACCGGAGCUAAUACCGGAUAAUAUAUUGAACCGCAUGGUUCAAUAGUGAAAGACGGUUUUGCUGUCACUUAUAGAUGGAUCCGCGCCGCAUUAGCUAGUUGGUAAGGUAACGGCUUACCAAGGCAACGAUGCGUAGCCGACCUGAGGGGGUGAUCGGCCACACUGGAACUGAGACACGGUCCAGACUCCUACGGGAGGCAGCAGUAGGGAAUCUUCCGCAAUGGGCGAAAGCUUGACGGAGCAACGCCGCGUGAGUGAUGAAGGUCUUCGGAUCGUAAAACUCUGUUAUUAGGGAAGAACAAAUGUGUAAGUAACUAUGCACGUCUUGACGGCACCUAAUCAGAAAGCCACGGCUAACUACGUG